GGGCCCGCACAAGCGGUGGAGCAUGUGGUUCAAUUCGACGCAACGCGAAGAACCUUACCUGGGCUCGAAGCGCAGUGGACCGGGGUGGAAACAUCCCUUCCCCUUAAAAGGCUGCUGCGGAGGUGCUGCAUGGCUGUCGUCAGCUCGUGUCGUGAGAUGUUGGGUUAAGUCCCGCAACGAGCGCAACCCUUAUCCCUAGUUGCCAUCGGGUCAAGCCGGGCACUCUAGUGAAACUGCCUCGGAUAACGAGGAGGAAGGUGGGGAUGACGUCAAGUCCUCAUGGCCUUUAUGUCCAGGGCUACACACGUGCUACAAUGGUCGGUACAAACCGUCGCAAACCCGUGAGGGGGAGCUAAUCGGAAAAAGCCGGCCUCAGUUCGGAUUGGAGUCUGCAACUCGACUCCAUGAAGCUGGAAUCGCUAGUAAUCGCGGAUCAGAACGCCGCGGUGAAUACGUUCCCGGGCCUU
rnacentral:rRNA from 1 species